GGUCCCAGCCGGGAGUCGAACCGGGGCCUUCUCGCUGUGAGGCGAGAGCGCUAACCACUGCGCCACCGUGCAGCCCUCUAGUAAUACAUUUUAGGGAUAAAUCCAUGAGCUACUAUCAGAAGAUACAUGUUAAAAAAAAAAACAAAUAUCUGGUUUGGUUACUUUAACCACUAGGGGGCAGUGUUCGCCCACUAAAUCUGCAUCUUCUCACAUGUUUCCUCAGAUCAGUGGAUCUCAGCCUGCAGAGACACACCUCCCUGCAGACUUCAUCUCUUUAACUGCAUCCAGACAUAACAGACACUUUUCCUUUCCAACAUGACUUCUAGCAGACGUGGUCUCCUCAGCUUGUUGCUGUUUGUUCUCUGGAUCAAAGGUGGGACUGAUGGAAGUGAUGUCAGCCAGACCUCCAUGCUGUGGAUCAAUGAGGGUCAAGAUGCAACCAUGAACUGCAGCCACACAAAGGGUGGUUCAUAUUUCCAGAUGUACUGGUACAGACAGCUGCCUGGAAAAACCAUGGAGCUGAUCGUCUUCACGUCUACAACUCAGAGGAAUGGAGAACAUGACUUUGGAUCUUUCAGCAAAGAGAAGUUCUCAGCCACUAAGACAGAAGCUGAGAGAGGAACAUUCACAGUGAAGGAGGUGCAGCCUGAAGAUAAAGGCUUGUAUUUCUGUGCUGUGAGUCAACACAGUGAUACAAACCAAUGAGAGAGCUGAACAAAAACCUCUGAGCUGAAACCAUCUGUGUUUCUUCUAUUCCUCACUUAGUCUAGUUUGUGGUUUCUGGGUUUAGAAAAACAUAAAU